GACGAACGCUGGCGGCGUGCUUAACAUAUGCAAGUCGAACGGUAAGGCCCUUCGGGGUACACGAGUGGCGAACGGGUGAGUAACACGUGGGUGAUCUGCCCUGCACUUCGGGAUAAGCCUGGGAAACUGGGUCUAAUACCGGAUAGGACCACUGCCUGCAUGGGUGGUGGUGGAAAGCUUUUGCGGCGUGGGAUGGGCCCGCGGCCUAUCAGCUUGUUGGUGGGGUGAUGGCCUACCAAGGCGACGACGGGUAGCCGGCCUGAGAGGGUGACCGGCCACACUGGGACUGAGAUACGGCCCAGACUCCUACGGGAGGCAGCAGUGGGAAAUAUUGCACAAUGGGCGCAAGCCUGAUGCAGCGACGCCGCGUGAGGGAUGACGGCCUUCGGGUUGUAAACCUCUUUCAGCACCGACGAAGCGCAAGUGACGGUAGGUGCAGAAGAAGGACCGGCCAACUACGUGCCAGCCGCCGCGGUAAUAC
rnacentral:rRNA from 1 species